ensembl:lncRNA
CUAAGGACAAUGCUAGAAUGCAAGUGAACAGAAUAUUUUUAUGUAGCAGAAUGAGAGUUGCUCCCAAUUUAAACCCAAUUUAAACCCUGUAUCAUGGUGACAGCUGCAUCACCUACGUGCUCUUGCCAUCCCCCAGCUGUAAUUACAGCAGAAACAUGGUGGGAACAUUCUCAGCAUCCUGAAUAUCUGUUUUCCAUGUUCCUCUGCAGUUUAACUGACAAAAUACCUGCAAGGAUGAAAUAUCCUUCAUCUCAACAAUACCUCUCACCUCCUUGGGUUUGCAGAUAAUCACUUGAUGCAAUCUUGCCCUUAAAAAUAAGGAUUGAAUAUUUUUGAAGAGGAAUUAAAUAACUGAAGGGAGGGCGGAAUGCACAGAGGAGCUCAGUUACCAAAGCUCUGCUGUUUUAUUAGCUAACAUCAGCAUAAAGUGCUCAGUGAAAUGGCAGCCCAUCCCAUCACUUUUAUUACCUUCCACAUGUGCUUUUUUACUGUCAUUAGCUUAGCUUUAAACAAUCCUUCCCAGCCUUUCCUGUGUCUUGAUCUUUGCUGUCCCCACUCCAGAAUUAAGUAACGAGGUUGUAACCAGGCAUUUUCCUCUCUGUGCAGGGCUCACUGGGUCCUUCCAGGACCUUCAGGCUCUCCAUGGGGUCUGUGCAGACUCCCUGCAAUCACUCAGGCUCUCACUGCAACAUCAAAGCUCUGCCUCACCUCCAGAUUCCUCCCAGUAAAUCUGUCCACCACAGCCUCAAAACAAUCUGCUCUAACCAAGGCUCUCACUGCAACAUCAAAACUCUGCCUGACCUCCAGAUUCCUCCCAGUAAAUCUGUCCACCACGGCCUCAAAACAGUCUGCGCUAACAGCCCAAGGCAGGAAAGGCAGAGCAGGGGAGGUGCAGGCUCUGUGCAGUCACAGAAUAAAUCCGCAGUGCCUGUGCAUCCCACUGCAGAUUUAAUCCCUCUGUAAGACCUACAUGGCUCACAGUCCAAGGGGAUAAGGCAGGUAAUGAAGGAGAAUUAUUUAUGUUUUAUGGAUUUAUAGAGAUGGCUGUGGGAGCUGGCUGCAGGGGACGCCAGUGUGUGAUCCUAGAGUGUGUUGGCCACUGAAAGAAACAGGUGACUCUAUGUUAAAUGUCAUUAUUUGAUGUAGUUCACACUUUUUUUGUCAUCUAUGGCUGAAACAAUGAGGAAAGGCAAAGGCUGAGAAAGGGUUAAGAGGGAAGGGGAAGCAGCACAAGCAGAUUUGAAAAAAUGAAUGACUCUAUCCAAGGCAAAGGCAGCCUGUUGAUAUAUCUCACCCAGAGGGGACUCAGAGAGUGACCUCAUGCUGCCUGUCAGACACAGCCCCAUCCCUCCCAUCCCACCUAAUGCUGCAGCCCAUCUGCCUGGGAGCCAGUCCCAGCUCCAGCACAGAGCCAGAGCAGUGCCUUCAUUCACAAGCUCUGUGUUUAUCACACAGCCUGCCCUGCUCUGGCCAUUUCCCAGUGAAUCUGGGGGCAGCAAACACUCGGAGUCCUGCCCUGCCACAGGGACAGGGUGCAGGAUGGCUGAGUGCUCAGGUGCCAGUUUAGGUCCUGCUUUAUGCAAAACCCCUUGAUUCAUCUCCAUCUCUCCAUCUCCAUCUUUCAUUUUAGAGACUGAGCCUGGAGACCUGGUGGUGGGGCUGGGUCAGACAGGUACCCAGCCACAGCCUGCCCUAAAGCCUACCCUAAGACCUGUCCUAAAGCCUGCCCCAAAGCCUGCCCCACUGCUUUCUCUGUCUUCUGCCAGGGAUUUCAAGGACAACCCCAAAAAUAAGACACCACUGACUAGAUCCUAGCAGUUUCUUUGGUGCCAGAGACCCAGAUUGCUGCUCAGAGACUCUGAGGGGUUGUGCCAGGAGUGAUCAAUCACAAACUAUCUGCUAAAGAUCAGACUUCCCUCUUCUUCUGUUUUUUAUCUACCAAGACCAGAUGGUUACAUGACCAAUUGUCCCAAGAGCUGUCCCACAAAGUUUGGAAGUUUCUUUGACCAACUCUGCUUACCUAGCAGAAUUACUACAACAAAACAAUAACAAUUAUUGAUUACUACAAGGAAAACCAGACUAUAAAAAGGGAGCUGCAAACCAAGUUGGAAGCGUUGGAGUGGGCUGUGACCCCUCACGUUUCCCCAGCGCUGAAGUUUGGAAGUUUCUUUGACCAACUCUGCUUACCUAGCAGAAUUACUACAACAAAACAAUAACAAUUAUUGAUUACUACAAGGAAAACCAGACUAUAAAAAGGGAGCUGCAAACCAAGUUGGAAGCGUUGGAGUGGGCUGUGACCCCUCACGUUUCCCCAGCGCUGCUUGUUCUGCCUGUAUACAAUAAACCGAUCUAAAUUUUGCUGAAUAUCGAGACUUUAUUUCUCAUUUAUAACAGAGGUGACCGCCCCAGUGCCGCUGUGGCCCAGCUGGCACAGUUUGCUGGUUGCUCCGAGCUGCGCUGCACAGCUUGGCUUGCAGAGAGGGUUUCACUGAGGGUUUUAUGGGGCUCCCUGGGGCAGCGGCAGCUCCCCUUCCCCCUGCCCCGUCACCCUGACGCUGAGCUGUUCUACAGUUCCUGCCCGAAGCAGUGUUUGGCUGUUGCCCGGUGACAGCUCAAACAGGCCUCACCUCGGCCUCCCUGCGGCCCCGCACUCCAGCCUGGAGCUGGGAGCAGAGCUGCUGCCAGCGCUAGGAAAUGAGACUUGCAGCUCCCCAGGACACCCCAGAGCUCUGGGGGACAUCCCCAGACUGAUCCCAGCCUGCUGGCAGGCUCCUGGCUCAGCACAAACAGAGCAUCCCCCAGCCCCCCAAAGCUGCCAGGCCACCAGGCAAAGGCAGCAGCACUGCCAGGGGCACCUGUGGGGUGGGGGCUCUGGGCAGGGACACUCUGGGAGUGAACAGCCCUGCAGGACCUGCUCAGAACCACAGCACCAGGACCCUGAGCACCAGAACCCUGAGGGACCAGAACCCUGAGGUACCAGGACCCUGAGGGACCAGAACCCUGAGCACCAGGACCCUGAGGGACCAGAACCCUGAGGGACCAGAACCCUGAGCACCAGGACCCUGAGGGACCAGAACCCUGAGGGACCAGGACCCUGAGCACCAGAACCCUGAGGGACCAGAACCCUGAGGUACCAGGACCCUGAGGGACCAGAGCCCUGAGCACCAGAACCCUGAGGUACCAGAACCCUGAGGGACCACGACCCUGAGGGACCAGGACCCUGAGGGACCAGGGGGGGGGGGGGGGGGGGGGGGGGGGGGGGGGGGGGGGGGGGGGGGGGGGGGGGGGGGGGGGGGGGGG